CUGGCUCCUGGCUCCUGGCCCAAGCUCUGUCAUGAACUUGCAGGGUUUCCUUGGGCUGGUCCCAUUUCCCUGUCAUAUUUGACCAAGUUGGACCCAGCCGGUCAAUUGCACACUUGAACAAAAUGCUUUAUUUGAGCAGCAGAACCCUGACUUCAAAGGAGAGUUUACCAAGAACCCGAGUACAGAGACUGAAGAAGCAAAGCUCAUGAGGUUGAGAGUCCCACAGGAGAUGUUUGGAAGAAUUGCUUUGGAGGCCCAACGAGGGAGAAGAAUCACUGGCCAGGAAGCAUCCAGAAAGACUUCAUGGUACACUGGAGAAGAGCCUCGCAGCACAAGUGGGGCCCAGCAGGUGCAGAGGGAAGGAAGGACAUUUCUGGGGAGGGUAGAGCAUGAGGACAGGCUGUGUUCAUGGAACAUCUAUUGGUGGACUUGGGUGCAAAUGUAUCGAGAGAUGUUGGCAUGCCAUGACCGUCUUGAUAUUGCAGUUCUUGCUCGGUGAUGGGCAUGAAGCAGGCACAGAAGAACAACAUAACACGACACUGCAAAAUUAUAGCAGGGCGGAUAGUUAAUAUGUUAAGCUUUAUGGGCCCGGCAGUUUCUGUUGUGGCCGCUCAAGCCUGCCAUUCCAGAUGCAGAGGUACAGGUGAG